UACGGAGGGUGCAAGCGUUAAUCGGAAUUACUGGGCGUAAAGCGUGCGUAGGUGGUUCGUUAAGUCCGUUGUGAAAUCCCCGGGCUCAACCUGGGAAUGGCGAUGGAUACUGGCGAGCUAGAGUGUGUCAGAGGAUGGUGGAAUUCCCGGUGUAGCGGUGAAAUGCGUAGAGAUCGGGAGGAACAUCAGUGGCGAAGGCGGCCAUCUGGGACAACACUGACGCUGAAGCACGAAAGCGUGGGGAGCAAACAGG
rnacentral:rRNA from 1 species